rnacentral:rRNA from 1 species
GACGAACGCUGGCGGCGUGCCUAACACAUGCAAGUCGAACGGAAAGUUAGCAAUAGCUUUUAGUGGCGAACGGGUGAGUAACGCGUGGGCAACCUGCCCUUCAGACGGGGACAACAUUCCGAAAGGAGUGCUAAUACCGGAUACGACCUUUAGACCGCAUGGUUUAAAGAAGAAAGGUGGCCUCUAUUUAUAAGCUACCGCUGAAGGAUGGGCCUGCGUCUGAUUAGCUAGUUGGUGGGGUAAAGGCCUACCAAGGCGACGAUCAGUAGCCGGUCUGAGAGGAUGAACGGCCACACUGGGACUGAGACACGGCCCAGACUCCUACGGGAGGCAGCAGUGGGGAAUCUUCCGCAAUGGGCGAAAGCCUGACGGAGCAACGCCGCGUGAGUGAAGAAGGUCUUCGGAUUGUAAAGCUCUGUUUAAAGGGACGAAUGGCAGAUUUGUGAAUAAUGAAUUUGCAUGACGGUACCUUUGGAGGAAGCCACGGCUAACUACGUGCCAGCCGCCGCGGUAAGAC